UAUAUUUCAGGAACCCCUAACUAAACACUCCCACAUCUAUAUAGAGGAGAUAAGUCGUAACAUGGUAAGUGUACUGGAAGGUGCACUUGGAUAAAC
rnacentral:rRNA from 1 species